rnacentral:rRNA from 1 species
UACGAAGGUGGCAAGCGUUGUUCGGAAUCAUUGGGCGUAAAGGGCGCGUAGGCGGAUUUGUAAGUCGAUUGUGAAAUCCCUGGGCUUAACCCGGGAAUGGCAGUCGAAACUGCAAGUCUUGAGUACUGGAGAGGAUGGUGGAAUUCCUGGAGUAGAAGUGAAAUUCGUAGAUAUCAGGAGGAACACCGGAGGCGAAGGCGGCCAUCUGGACCAGUCACCUGACGCUGAGGCGCGAAAGCGUGGGGAGCAAACAGG